CACCCAAGUACUAAGCAAUUCUAUAAUAUUAUAGAACUUUUUAUGUUAAAACUAGUAACAUGAAGUCACCUUCUCUUAAAUGCAAACGUAAAUCAGGUAGGAACAGCCACUGAUAAUUAACACCCAUGAACCUACAGUAGUAACAUUACAAGAAAACUCUACUUCAUCCUAUGUUAACCUUACACAAGAACAUUUUAAGAAAGAUUUUAAAAAAAAGAAGGAACUCGGCAAACAUUAACCCCGCCUGUUUACCAAAAACAUCGCCUCCUGAAAACCAUAAGAGGUCAGCCUGCCCAGUGACCUUGUUCAACGGCCGCGGUAUCCUAACCGUGCGAAGGUAGCAUAAUCACUUGUUCUUUAAAUGAGGACUAGUAUGAAUGGCAUCACGAAGGUUAUACUGUCUCCUUUUUUUAAUCAGUGAAACUAAUCUCCCCGUGAAGAAGCGGGGAUAAGUCUAUAAGACGAGAAGACCCUAUGGAGCUUUAAACGAAGCAACACCUGUUAAGCAAUAAAAAAAUUUAAGAAAACUAACAAACACUUUAACACCCUGUAUGCAAGUUUUAGGUUGGGGCGACCACGGAGUACAAUUUAACCUCCGCAAUGAAAAGACAAACCUCCUUAACCAAGAGUAACAACUCUAAGUAUCAAAAAAUUGACAUUCUUUGACCAAUAAUUUGAUCAAUGAACCAAGUUACCCUAGGGAUAACAGCGCAAUCCUCUUCAAGAGCCCUAUCGACAAGAGGGUUUACGACCUCGAUGUUGGAUCAGGGGCUCCAGUGGUGCAGCCGCUACUAAAGGUUCGUUGUCACGAUA
rnacentral:rRNA from 1 species